CAUGCAAGUCGAGCGGACCGACGGGAGCUUGCUCCCUUAGGUCAGCGGCGGACGGGUGAGUAACACGUGGGUAACCUGCCUGUAAGACUGGGAUAACUCCGGGAAACCGGGGCUAAUACCGGAUGCUUGAUUGAACCGCAUGGUUCCAAUCAUAAAAGGUGGCUUUCAGCUACCACUUACUGAUGGACCCGCGGCGCAUUAGCUAGUUGGUGAGGUAACGGCUCACCAAGGCGACGAUGCGUAGCCGACCUGAGAGGGUGAUCGGCCACACUGGGACUGAGACACGGCCCAGACUCCUACGGGAGGCAGCAGUAGGGAAUCUUCCGCAAUGGACGAAAGUCUGACGGAGCAACGCCGCGUGAGUGAUGAAGGUUUUCGGAUCGUAAAACUCUGUUGUUAGGGAAGAACAAGUACCGUUCGAAUAGGGCGGCACCUUGACGGUACCUAACCAGAAAGCCACGGCUAACUACGUGCCAGCAGCCGCGGUAAUACGUAGGUGGCAAGCGUUGUCCGGAAUUAUUGGGCGUAAAGCGCGCGCAGGCGGUUUCUUAAGUCUGAUGUGAAAGCCCCCGGCUC
rnacentral:rRNA from 1 species